CAGCCGCCGCGGGAAUACAGAGGGUGCGAGCGUUAAUCGGAUUUACUGGGCGUAAAGCGUGCGUAGGCGGCUUCUUAAGUCGGAUGUGAAAUCCCUGAGCUUAACUUAGGAAUUGCAUUCGAUACUGGGAAGCUAGAGUAUGGGAGAGGAUGGUAGAAUUCCAGGUGUAGCGGUGAAAUGCGUAGAGAUCUGGAGGAAUACCGAUGGCGAAGGCAGCCAUCUGGCCUAAUACUGACGCUGAGGUACGAAAGCAUGGGGAGCAAACAGGAUUAGAUACCCCAGUAGUCCCUGUCUCUUAUAU
rnacentral:rRNA from 1 species